rnacentral:rRNA from 1 species
CGCCUUAUACUCCUACGGGAGGCAGCAGUGGGGAAUAUUGGACAAUGGGCGAAAGCCUGAUCCAGCAAUGCCGCGUGAGUGUUGAAGGCCUUAGGGUUGUAUAGCUCUUUUACCCGGGAUGAUAAUGACAGUACCGGGAGAAUAAGCUCCGGCUAACUCCGUGCCAGCAGCCGCGGUAAUACGGAGGGAGCUAGCGUUAUUCGGAAUUACUGGGCGUAAAGCGCACGUAGGCGGCUUUGUAAGUUAGAGGUGAAAGCCUGGAGCUCAACUCCAGAAUUGCCUUUAAGACUGCAUCGCUUGAAUCCAGGAGAGGUGAGUGGAAUUCCGAGUGUAGAGGUGAAAUUCGUAGAUAUUCGGAAGAAAACCAGUGGCGAAGGCGGCUCACUGGACUGGUAUUGACGCUGAGGUGCGAAAGCGUGGGGAGCAAACAGGAUUAGAUACCCUUGUAGUCCACGUACCA